CGACGGCGGCGGCUCGGUUUGCUGGCGCUAAGGGUCUCCCGUGCGCCGCCCAGAGAAUAAUAAAUGAGGAGAGCCUGGAGUUUGCCCUGCAAAACCGAUUGCCCAGCUCCUCCCGCUGUCGCUGAGGUUGUCGUAGAACUCGGGGAAGUCAAGGCAGGGAACCUCGGAAAGGGCGCGGGGGGCCGGGAGGGAACCGUUCCCGCGUCCCGUAGGGUGUUAAAAAACGUUCUGAAAGUAAGAUGCUUCCCGCCGAGGGAGUUUCCCUCAGAAGGCUCCUCCUUCCUUCCCUCUUUGUCUCGGGUGACAAAUACUGGGAGGUAAACAAGGGCACCCUCCGGGUCCCGAAGGGGCGGAGGCGGCGCCUUCUCCCCCGGCCCCGCCCCCUCCUACCGGGUCCGGAAUUCCAAGCCCCGAGUGUCUCGGCCCCCACGCCGCACCCUGCAGCGGUGCGCCGGGAGCUCGGAGCCGGCGGCUGCCCUGUCUUUGGCUGGCCUGGCCUUCGCCUGGGCAUUCACUGUCUCGUCCUACUAGUGUGAUAGUUUUUAAAAAUUGAGAAUCGCAUAAAAGCAAUGCAUGCUCCCUAUCCCACUCCCAAUUGCGUAUAUUCUCCAAACGGCAUACAGCCACGUUACAGGCUCCUCCAAGCUUGGGUUAAGAACCUCCGUGUUAGUAUAGGGAGAGCGCGCCAAAGCUACCUUACCUUACUGCUUACCAGCGUCACAAGCUGCUUUUCCCAAGGUAGAGGACUUUAAUUGACAUCCUGGUGUGCUAUUUCUGUGGUAUUUAGUUUUGAGGGAUUCCCCCCAUUAUUGGAAUAUAGGUUGCGUGACUGUUUCAAGAAAUUUAAAUAUUUUGUCUUAAUUUUUCAGUAAGUUCGUUGGCACAUGUUAAGACUAUGCUCUUUGGUUUGUAUAUGGUUGUCAUAAUAGUAUUUGAAAACCAGCAGUUGUUUAUCUAGGUUUACUAAUAAAAAAGAUCUUAAAAAAAAUGUAUUUUCCUAGGAAAUGGAUAAUGGUUGUCCAACAUUGUGAAUGUACUUAAUGCCAGUGAAUUGUACACUUAGGAAUGGGUAAAAUGGUAACUUUUAUGUUAUGUAUGUUUUACCACAAAAAAAUAAAGUGG
rnacentral:lncRNA from 10 species